rfam:Pan troglodytes isolate Yerkes chimp pedigree #C0471 (Clint) chromosome 16, whole genome shotgun sequence.
UUUAAGAUGGCAGACCCUGGCAAUUACCUAAGACUUAAAACUUUAAAAUCAGAGGUUCAACUCCUCUUCUUAACA